rnacentral:rRNA from 1 species
GGAGGUUGGCUUAGAAGCAGCCACCCUUGAAAGAGUGCGUAAUAGCUCACUGGUCGAGUGAUCCUGCGCGGACAAUGUAACGGGGCUCAAGUUCAGAGCCGAAGCUAUGGGUUCGUACGUAAGUACGAGCGGUAGAGGAGCGUUGAUGCAGCAGUGAAGCGGCUGUGCAAACAGUCGUGGAGCGGCAUCAAGUGAGAAUGCAGGCAUGAGUAGCGAGAGAGGGGUGAGAAACCCCUCCGCCGAAAGCCCAAGGGUUCCUGGGGAAGGCUAUUCCCCCCAGGGUUAGUCGGGAGCUAAGGCGAGGCCGAAAGGCGUAGUCGAUGCACAACUGGUGAAUAUUCCAGUACCACCGUGUUCGCGUCAGGUCCAAUGGUCGCAACGUCGGGGCUGUUUCCUUCGGGAAGCGAGCCGACCGAGUGUCCGGCGGAUAGCUGAAGGGGGACGCAGGAGGGUAGGUGAACCGGGGCGAUGGUAGUCCCCGGGUAAGCGUGUAGGUGGGCUCCGAUGAGAGUUGGAGCCAUGACACUGAGACGUGAUGCCGAGCCGUUUAGGCGAAGUCACUGAUCCCAUGCUGCCAAGAAAAUCCCAGCAGUGAGUUAGCACGGUGCCCGUACCCCAAACCAACACAGGUGGGCGGGUAGAGAAUACCAAGGCGAUCGGGAGAACUAUGGUUAAGGAACUCGGCAAAUUACCUCCGUAACUUCGGGAGAAGGAGGACCCCUGUUGGUGACGAUCUUCGCGAUCCGAGCUGAUGGGGGUGGCACAGACCAGGGGGUAGCGACUGUUUACCAAAAACACAGCAGCGUGCGAAGCCGCAAGGCGCUGUAUACGCUGUGACGCCUGCCCAAUGCUGGAAGGUCACGGGGAACGGUUAGCUCUUCGGAGCGAAGCUGUGAACCUAAGCCCCAGUGAAUGGCGGCCGUAACUAUAACGGUCCUAAGGUAGCGAAAUUCCUUGUCGGGUAAGUUCCGACCUGCACGAAUGGCGNANUUCCCCGCUGUCUCAAACGUGGACUCAGCGAAAUUGAACUGUCUGNGAUGCACUNCCNAGCGGANUNCACUNCCCAACCAUAGACCCGGCGAAAUUGAAGUACGAGUAAAGAUGCUCGUUAGUUGCGGAAGGACGAAAAGACCCCGUGGACCUUUACUAUAACUUGGUGUUGAGUUUCGAAUGUCGUUGUGUAGGAUAGGUGGGAGACUAGGAAGCGUUGGCGCUAGCCAGUGUGGAGUCAUUGUUGAAAUACCACCCUGCGUCAUUUGGGCCUCUAACCUCGAUCCGUUAUCCGGAUUAGGGACAGCGCCAGGCGGGUAGUUUGACUGGGGCGGUCGCCUCCUAAAAUGUAACGGAGGCGCCCAAAGGUUCCCUCAGGCUGGUUGGCAAUCAGCCGUCGAGUGCAAUGACACAAGGGAGCUUGACUGCGAGACCUACAAGUCAAGCAGGUACGAAAGUAGGGCAUAGUGACCCGGCCAUCACGUGUGGAAGUGUGGUCGCUCAACGGAUAAAAGGUACCCCGGGGAUAACAGGCUAAUCUUCCCCAAGAGUCCAUAUCGACGGGAAGGUUUGGCACCUCGAUGUCGGCUCAUCGCAUCCUGGGGCUGAAGCAGGUCCCAAGGGUUGGGCUGUUCGCCCAUUAAAGCGGUACGCGAGCUGGGUUCAGAACGUCGUGAGACAAUCAUAUCCGGUGUAUGCGCAGGAAUAUUGAGAGGAUUUCUCCCUAGUACGAGAGGACCGGGAGGAACGCACCUCUAUCCUCCGCAACCGAAGGAACAUUGACGAAGGCUGUCCCUAGUACGAGAGGACCGGGACGGACGGAGCUCUGGUGUGUCUGUUGUCCUGCCAAGGGCACGGCAGAUUAGCCACCUCCGGAAGGGAUAACCGCUGAAAGCAUCUAAGUGGGAAACCCGUUCGAAGAUGAGUGUUCCCUUGCGGUUAACGCAGUAAGGCCCGUGGCAAGACCACCACGUUGAUAGGCCGGAAGUGUACGCACAGCAAUGUGUUUAGCUGACCGGUACUAAUCGGCCGAGGGCUUGGAUCU